rnacentral:ncRNA from 1 species
UUAAAGGCAAAGAAAAAGAGGAGUAAGUUUUAACUAACUAUAAAGAGAACAGAAGUCACCGGCUGAAAGCUUCUGAUAGUAUAGAAAACUGAAGGUAGCUUUGGAGCUGAUAAAUUGAAAUAGCAGUAAAUUUAUCCGUAUAACUUGCGUUAAAAGUAACUAAGAUUAACAAUAAAAUUGUUAAAUUAAGGUGGUACCGUGAGAAUAAUACCUCGCCCUUAUU